GGGUUUAAGGGUUUUUUAUUUGUUUUUGUGGGUUUUUUUUUUUUUUUUUUUUUUGGUCUUUUUUUGAGAGUUCUCUAGAGAGUUCAGUGAGCAGGGGUGUAUGUACAGGUAAGCUCUGAAGGUUUAAUAAUGCACAAAGUACACAAAACUUAUUUGGAAUUGAGUGCAGGCAAGGCCUGGCAUAGAGGAAAGGUCUGGAAUUCUGACAGAUCUGGGUUGUAAGUAUAAAGAGGGUUGAGGGUCUCUACAAAAUGUCUGAAGGUUGAGGGAGCUCUGAUUCUGUCUGUAGUUCUGCUUUAUGCAGUAGAUAAACUACAGAGUACCUGAGGGGAACCUCCAAGAGACCUGGAGAGGGACUUUGGACAAGGGCAUGCAGUGACAGGACAGGGGGGAAUGGCUUUGCAGUGACUGAGAGCAGCUUGAGCUCCCACAUGAGGAGGAAGUUCCUGGCUGUAAAGGGUGGGCAGGCCCUGGCACAGGGUGCACACAGAGGCUGUGGCUGCUCCUGGAUCCCUGGAAGUGUCCAAGGCCAGGUUGGACAGGGCUUGGAGCACCCUGGGACAGUGGAAUCUGUCCCUGCCUGUGCCAGGGGGGUUUGAAUUGGAUGAUGUUUUUAAGAUUCCUUGCAACCCAAACCAUUCUCUGACCUAAAUGUUAACAGAAGUUCCAAAAUUCUGUUUGAAUGUCUGAUCUCUCUGUGGAAUCUGUCGGGCAAAUCCUGCCUUGGAUUGUGAGCUUUCCUGAGGCACGGUUUGUAUCUCUGUACUGAGUGUAGAACCAUUCAAUAAAUACCAGUUUGUGAUUAAACUAAUCAGUCUUGUUUCUGAUUUCUAGCAUAAAAAUCCAGCCCCUGUGGAUGUAGCUGUUACAGCCAGCACAAUUAGGAGGCUCAUGGCACAUCACCCACCGAGCUGCUGUGAGCAGGACUUUAUUUCUGUAUAGCCAGUGAGCAGGAGAGGUGACUUGUUCUUUUAUGGUAUUUUAAGCAGCUGAGAAUGCCCAGUGGGCAGCACAGCACAAAUGGUCUCACACAGCUUAGGGAUGAUGUCUGUUGUCAUAGAAUGAGAACACUGUGCUUUUGGCAAGGCAGGAAAAAAGUCUUAAUUUUGGUUUAAAUAUUUUUUCAUUGGAAUAGGAACUUCAGGACUCAAGAGUUGCUGUGUGGUGGUGGUAUUUUGUGUCCUAAAUGUCAUUGUUAAGCAGCCCUGAAACUUGAAGCCACGCUGGCUGUGCUGGAUCUUUGCACUGUGCCCCAUCCCCCUGUGCAAACCCUUACAGGGCAGCUGUGGAAAGGAGUGGAAGAAAUGAGCAGUGGAGGUCACUUAGGUGAGCCUUUAUCAUGGCCUGCUGUGUUAACUGCACCAAACUAACAGCUGAGAAGCUCUAGAGUGGGACAAUCACAGUAAGUCACUUUAGUAUCUAAUCUCUUUGUAAACAUACAUGCUGUGAGGGAGAAACAUUUCAUUUUUAGAUCACUGUUCAAAGCAGCAGUUCUUGUUUUAUCUGUACUUUGUUAGUACCAAAGGUCUUGUAGAUGCAGCAUGGGAGAUUUGCCUGGGGAAAUACAUUUGAGGCUUAACUUGAGCAAAUUAAAGGCUUCUUAAUUUAAAAACAAUUAAAAGCAUUAAGGCACUCUAAGCAUGACACUGGUCAUUGGUCACAUGGAAUUCUAAGUGAUGGCUGUAAGUAAAUUAGUAAAAAUAAUACACUUAAACCCUUGAAAAUGUGUUUGGUGCAUUAGUUGCAGAAUAUACAGAAAUCUUGCCCAAAGUCUUCCAUACAUGUGGCACUUGAUAAGAAAAAGCAAAUUUAGGAAUGUCUGUGUCUUACAGGUCUCUUUAUAAGAACAGCAGAGUAACUGUUGAAUGUAUCACGUGGCUUCCUUCAGAUCACAGAUAAAGGAAAAAGAUUUCUGGGAUAAGACUGCAGGUUCACAUUGGGGACGAUAGUUGCAGCUGUCCUGGGGAAGUCAUGCAGUGUUGCAAAACAACUGCACAGCACUGCAGGGAAGCUGAAGAUUUGUGCAGCAGCUUUAAUUUAAAUGUGGCAAAGCAUUCUGUCAUCACCUGCAAUCAAGUGAUCAGCCUGUCUUUCAAAACUUGAAGUAGGUGCUUGAAGUCUAAUGAGAAUUUAGUUACUGUUCUGGGUAGCAGUGCUCACAGGGCUGCUGAAGGAGUGUUCUUACAUAUUUUUCAAAACAACACUGAAUGCCAGCAGUAAAGGGGAAGGAUCAGAUCUUUACAUCUACCUGUCAUUAGUUCUCUUUCAGGUUUUCUGAAUAACAUUUUUCAUGGCAGGCACCAGACAGUGGUUAGCACCACAAAUGUAUCCUGUGCAUGUACACAGUGCAUGAUCAGUGCAUCAACCUUUCCACUGUUGUAAACUUAAAUUUUUUAAAUCCCUAUGCUUUUUAACUGGCUUCCAAAUUAUCUCUGCACCAUGCAGCCUGUUCUCCUGGCUUCUGAGGUGUAAACCUUAUUCCUGAUUUAAAUUCUUUAUCUGUGAAAAUUUUGAUUUUUUUAAGGAGAGAAAAAAAUUUUUUACAGGAUUGAAGGAGUGGUUUUGUCAGUAAAUAGAGUCAGUUACCCAUCUACAGAUUAAAUACAUUUUAUAUGCUUGAAAUAAACUUAAAUGGAAAACAUUUAAACCUA